rnacentral:rRNA from 1 species
CCUACGGGAGGCUGCAGUGAGGAAUAUUGGUCAAUGGGCGGGAGCCUGAACCAGCCAAGUCGCGUGAAGGAAGAAGGUACUUAGUAUUGUAAACUUCUUUUGGCGGGGAACCAAGGCGGAGACGCGUCUCCGGAUGAGUGUACCCGAAGAAAAAGCAUCGGCUAAAUCCGUGCCAGCAGCCGCGGUAAUACGGAGGAUGCGAGCGUUAUCCGGAUUUAUUGGUUUUAAAGGGUGCGUAGGCGGAUCGUUAAGUCAGUGGUCAAAUUGAGGGGCUAAACCCCUGCCCGCCAUUGAAACUGGCGCUCUUGAGUGGAAGAGAAGUAUGCGGAAUGCGUGGUGUAGCGGUGAAAUGCAUAGAUAUCACGCAGAACCCCGAUUGCGAAGGCAGCAUGCCGGCUUCCGACUGACGCUGAAGCACGAAAGCGUGGGGAUCGAACAGGAUUAGAUACCCGAGUAGUC